AUGCCGCGAAAGAAGCCGCCAGGACAACCAACGCAUUAGUUCUUUUUCAGUUGCUCGCAAGAAAGCUGGUAUUUUUCUAAUAUAAAAAGACAGUUUAGUGGAUGGAAUAACUGCAUUAUUAUAGUGUUGAAUGAACCUGGACCUCAUACCCAGCAAUAUUGUGAAGCUCUAAAGUAGAUUGUAAUACCAUUACUUGACAUGGCGCUCCUUUAUCUUCUUAUUUCUGGCAUUGUGUCCUCCGUAUCGUCAUAUGUGAUAGUGCCCGAAGAGGGGCUUCCAAAUACUCCGCCCGUAAUUACAGUGGAAGAUGCCGGCUAUAAAAUUAAAGUUCGCGAACAAUAUACAUAUACACAUCCUGGAUCCGUGUGGUCUAUCAAUAUCUAUCAAGACUUCGAAAACCCUCAUUCGUACUUUAACGAACCCGCAUUCACCGAAGGUCUGCCUCUAUGCCCAAAAGAUGGUUGGCCAAACUGCGAAAAUUGCAACUUCGUAUCCAAAAACGAUUUCCAAAACGGUGGGAACGGCCAUCCGUGGGUACUGGCACAGUGCUGUGCAACGCACCAUUAUGCGCGUACGCGAAAGCUGGCGCUACAAAACAUAUAUCCUUAUGCCUUUUUCGGAAAGAGCCUGGGAACAAUUACCAAUCCCAACGGAGACAUAUAUCUGAAUAAGGAGAACGACUUCUACACCUGGACUGAUGACCCAUGCACGGGCGAAUAUUUGUGGUCCAUACCGAAGCCUUAUGUACCAUUGCGUGUGCGCAAUAUGCCGGUGACAGUUGCACCUACUACACCCACCACUACAGCAGUACGAUGUGAAACCUACGCGCAACCCUGCAGAUAGCCGGAGUGUCAAUGUUGCCGCACUUAUGAGGAAAGCAUGUCAUGCGUGUGGUCGCACUUGUCUGGCUAAUGUUAUCGAGCCUGUUGCUUAUGCUGUGGAAGCCUUAUCACCAGAGCUGCUCAGAUAUCAUAUAUGGGGAGCGUCCAGGUCCACUGGCGGAAGUGAACGAAGCGCUACGUCUAAGUAUAAACUACAAGCUGAUAUGUGCUCCCCUCUUCGCUUCAUUGAUCGCUUUAACUUGCUGCUCAUAGAUAAUUUCAUAGAUAAUUUCAUAGAUCACGCGUCUGCUGAAUUUUCAAAGAUGAUCGGCAAAACAUUGCAUAUCCGAACGCAAGGAAGCCGCUUCAGUAGUUUCCUUUUUCAGUGCUUAAGCCUUGAGCUUCAACGUGGUAAUGCUGUGUUUUGGGAGCUGUCCCUUAUAUUAUUUUGAGCGAGAUUUUUCUUCAACCUUGCUUAUGCAGACCUUUGUAAACUUUCAUCAAGUCAUGUUUCCAUGCGUUUUUAUAGCUUCACAGUAAAAUAUUAACCUGUUCGG